GAGUCAGGAAAAUGAGGGAACCUGCGUUUAUUCUUUUAGUUUACUAAAUUGAAAGCAAUUUAGCUAAUUUCUGUAUGUCACCAUCUGGACACAGAACUGUGAGGAGAACACUAAGGAAGCACCAAAGGCCAAGUGUUGUCAUGGUGGUGGAUGACUCAAGGCACCUCAUCUAUCUGCUUACUCCACAUUUCUUUCUGAAAAUCCUCCACGGAAACAAGGCCCUGGAAGUUCUAGCCAUCAGUCCAUAUGGGACAUAUAAUACUUAGGGAUUCAUCACUGAGAUUGGGGGAGCCCCAAGACCUUCCUAGAAUGUCUGGUAUCUCAUUGUACAACUUCAAAAGAACUGUGGAUCUCAUCAGAGUUGAGAGAAGGAUGCUAACUGGACCCUAUAACUCUAUGAGUUUGUCUUCAUUAUCUGAAUAUGAUCCCAUUACCUAAACUAGAAAAAUCCAGAGAGGGAAAUGGUUUGCCAAGACCAUCCCACAAAUCAGUGGUAGAGUUGCUUCCCAUCAACCAGUCCACCCUGAAUCAUUUAUUUUGCUAUAGUAUUCCCUUUAGUAAACUAAGGACUGCUAUUGCAUUGAUAUACAUUAUUUCAGAAAUGCCUCAUUCAUUUCUAACCACCUGUCAGUUACCAGUGGUGUCCAGUUCCAAUGUGAGCUUAAGUGUCUCUUCCUUCUUUCCCUUCACCUUUUCCCACUUGCAUCAGACUCUCUGCCAAGUGGUUAUAGAUCUUUGAACCAACACUGAUAUUGACUGCGGAGGCUGACAUUUAAAUUUUUCUUGGUGAAAUGAGCAUUUGAAAAUGUCAGAGGGUUUCCUGGGGCUUCCCUGGUGGCACAAUGGUUAAGAAUCCUCCUGCCAAUGCAGGAGACACCGAUUCGAGUCCUGGUCCCGGAAAAUCCCACAUGCCAUGGAGCAACUAGGUCCGUGUGCCACAACUACUGAAGCCCGUGCGCCUAGAGCCCACGCUCCACGGCAAGAGAAGCCACCGCAAUGAGAAGCCCGCGCACCACAAUGAAGAGUAGCCCCCACUCGCCGCAACUAGAGAAAGCCCGCGCGCAGCAACAAAGACCCAACACAGCCAAAAAUUUUUAAAAUUAAUUAAAAAAAAAAAGGGUUUCCUGGUUACUUUACUGUCUCCAUGAGGCCACCCAGGAGAUCUCCUGGUAAAAAGACAUUCUUUGAGAUGCUUCUGGGGCUACAGGAGAUUUGGUUUUCAUUCUUAUAACAUGUUUGACUACUGAAUUCUAAGGAAAACAAUUUAAAAAUAAGCCCUAUCAAUGUUGUUUCCUUUAAAGAAUCACAAGCUUGUUAGGAACUGGGGGUAGGUGGUUACCAUUGUUUGAAUCGCUGGUUCUUAGAAAAGGGCAUGGGGGUAGACAUCAGGAUCUAGGAGGUGAGGUAAGGACCAUGGUUCCGUUAAGCCCUCUUCCCUUAAACCACUGAUCUAAUUCCUCAUACUCAGCUCUCAUUCAUUCACUCAUUCUCACAACACACAGUUCAUUGGCAGUCUUUUGUGGGUUAGACACUAUUUUCUCUGGAUACUGGGGAAAUGAAUAUAAAUACAACAGGGGAUUCUGACCCCAGGGGACGCACAAUCUACUGAGAAAAAAAAGGCCAAGAAUGGUGCAAAAGCUUGCUUUAAGUCAUGCAAAUGAUAGCCCCCUUGCCAGGCCAAACAUCCUGAUUCUGAGCCAAAUAAAACUCUCUGGCCUCCUUCCAGAUGCUGUGUCCUACCUCCUGCUCCAGCACCAGUGUGAGGCACCGACCCCCUCCUUGGGCAGGUUCAGCCUCUGGGUUUUUCAUCCAGUGUUGAUUAGAACAGGAUAUAACCCAGCUGCCUCAAUGCACCAUCCAGUAAUACCCAAUACCCAAUGCAAAGAAAAUCCACAAGAGCCUGGAGCACACACAGCCUCACCACCACCAUCACCAGGUUGGCUCAGCCUGCAGGCCAGAGCUUUGCCUGGUCUGUGAUUUUUAUAACUUCGAGAGCCUGACAGGUUCUACCAUGAACAGAGAGAUCACCCAACAUCAUGCUAUUCCAAAGCACACAGCCUCAAGUAGCAUCCACAGCCUGGACACUAGCUCCCAACACCACCUCUAACAGAAUCUAGACACCUAAUAGAUCCUGAAGCUUACUCAACUAAACCCAAGUUUACCCCAACGCUCUGGGCAUCCCAGACCUUUGGAUAAUAAACUAACAGGUGAUAUAAACAGGUGCCAGCCCUGCACCCAGACCACUUUUCACAGCACCCUAUUGCCAAGGCCCAGACUGCCUGAGGGUUGGGCCCAUGUGCCAGGAGUUGUAACCAUCUCCUUCCUAUGACACAUGCAUAAAACCACCAGAUACAAUUUCAGCAAUCUUACAAUUAGUUGGAAGUCUAGCAGCUUUCAAUAUCUCAACAUCAAGGUUGCUAAGAAACACCCACCCUUUGGAGGGUGAAAUGUCAGCGGAAUGCUCAAAAGAAAAUGGGACAGAAAAAGAUUAAUAAUAUCAUUAAUAAAGUCCAUAAUUUGGGAAGGUAUAUUGAAAAAACUUGACGAUGGUGAUGGUGAAUCAAUAAAUCAAGCACCUUAGGCCCUCAAACUUCUUUCCAGUCCCGUCUCCUGUAAGUUUUCUACCCCAGACUCUUAGCAUUCUCCAAGAACCCAGGCACUUACCUCCACUCCACACUUAGGCGUUGGUCGCUGCCUUUGGUAGGCUAGAAGCUCCUCAAAGACAAGAGAACUUCAUUUUUGUUGUAUUGGACUUGCAUCCAAAACAUGGUGCUCACUUAGGAAAUGUAGACUGAAUUCAAGUAGGUAGAAGUGAAAGAGAAUUCAGGGUGAAAUCUGAUGAUCUGGGUUCCAGUUAAAGCUCCACAACUGACUAACUUCUUGUCUUGUCAACAUUUGACAUCAAAAUGGGGGAGACUGAGAAAUCGCCUAUGUGAGACAUAAUUAUACAGAAACUUGGAACCUUUUCUGCUGGUUCCCUACUUAUUGAAAAGAUGAUGCAAUCAUCCCAAAUGAACAUACCUGGGCAAUUUGCUAUCGAGGGGGUCCAUGCCUUACAGUGGGGACUGAGCUGCUGAAGGCACUUUCCUGUGCAGCUCCAUCCUACUCAGUUUAGCACCUGUGACCCCUGCAAUUAUUUAGUAACCGGACCAUCUCUCCUCCCGAAUUUGAGAGCAAUUAUGCUCAGACAGGAAAGUGACAUGUCCAGAGUCACAUGGCUGGCAUGUUGGAAGAGUAGGAUUGGAGGCCAUGCCUGUUUGUCUCGGAGUCCAGUACUCACCCCAGCACACCCGCUGCCUUCCUCAGCAGAUUCAAAACCCUUAUGUUUGGGCUUCUCUGGUGACCACAUUAAACGUUUAAAUCCCCUGCGAACAUGUAUUAUAACCUAAACAACCAAAAGGAAGACAGAGAAGGAAGAGGAGAGAGAAGAAAGAAAGAGACCAAGCUGCCAUGCCUGCCAGCGUCGGACUGCACUCCUUCAUCCAGCCAGCAAAUCAACGCACCCAAGGCAUCUUAUAGAAAACAGGACAAAGUAAGACCCUAGCAUCUGGUGAAUUAUUCUAUGCUCCUCUUAAAGUCUUGGGUUAAAGUCCACAAACAUGGAACAUCACAGUCCUCUUGGAGUUCUGCUGCAGAGGACAACUGUAUGGCAGUUUAAAGAAGCCAGCCCUGGGCCAACAAGAGUACUGUCUUCUUAGGAAUGAAGUAGUUAUAAGGUGCAAGAUGUAUGAUUUAUACUCCUAUUUCAUACCCAUGUGAAAGGUGUUAGCUUUUUGGUCUUCACAACAGCUCAGUGAAAAAGGAGUUGUGAUUAUCUACUUUCCUAAAUGCCCUAAUUUGCAGAGCUGCUACAUGAGGGAGUCAUUGUUCGGAGUGAGGCAGUGACUGCAAGAGCCUGGGAUCUCCCACCACAGCGCUGCCAUGCCUCCAGCCCUGGCCGGUGAAUGGGUCCUCCACUCCUUAGCCACCAGCCCAAGCAGCAAGGGUGAAGUCGACUGUGGUUAAGUAUUUGUUCAGUAUCUUCGUGGUUUCAGCCGCCUGGAUGCCACCAUCUUCCUUACGAGACAGAGCUUCCCUAUUUUGAUGGGCGAGUCAUCAGUCACUCUUCAUGAUCUUCAGCUGUAUUUCCUCUUUUUUUUUUUUUUUUUUUUUUUUUUUUUGCACGCGGGCCUCUCACUGUUGUGGCCUCUCCCGUUGCGGAGCACAGGCUCCGGACGCGCAGCCUCAGCGGCCAUGGCCCACGGGCCCAGCCGCUCCGCGGCAUGUGGGAUCUUCCCGGACCGGGGCACGAACCCCCGUGUCCCCUGCAUCGGCAGGCGGACUCUCAACCACUGCGCCACCAGGGAAGCCCUGUAUUUCUUCUUUAAGGGUAGGCUCUUGCUCCUUCAGCACUAGGCUUACCUCACUUUUCAUCUCUGAAUGUUUUGUUGGUCAUUCCCUGAGCUUGAGUUAUCUUUACUCUGCCAAUGUCUGCUCUUAUUCAGACUUGAAAAACUCCAGUCAAUUUUCAUCUUACCAAAACGUUAGCACCCACAGACCAGGACUCAUGUCUGAUUUAUUCUUUAUUCCAUAUCAUCUUCGCAGUAUAUAGCAGCCUAAAUGCUGAAAGAAUAAAUAGUGGUCAGUAAAUGUCGAAAGAAUGUGCGAAUGACUCCCCUUUGAGAACUUUCUAGACUCAGCAGUUCCCUGACAUCUGCUCUAGUACUGAUUCUUUCAUUCAUUAACUCUGCAAAUAUUCCUGGAGUGACCACUACUUGAAGAGAACUUGAAGUCCUGUACAUAGAAUGGGAGUAUUCAUGCUUGAAGACUCACACUUUCUUCAUUCAUCCGUUUGUUCAUUCACUCAGUUAAUAAGCAUUUACUGAGUACUUCCUAUGCUAAGAACAUGCACUGAGUGGAGGCAUGGGUGUUAAGAACCAUGGAUUUAUACUGGAAAUUCCUGGUUUCCAACUUGACUUCAUCACUUAGUAGCUGUGUACUUGGGCAACUUUCUUAACCAUUCUGGGCCCCUGUUUCCUUAUUUGCAAAAUGAGGAAAAUACCAGUAUCAACAUCCUCAGUUAGCUGUGAGGAUUAAAAGAGAUCACACACAUUAAGUGCUCAGUAAAUCUUAGCCAUUAGCUAUUAUCAUUUCCCUGGUAAGUGAAACGAAGAGGAAUUAGACAUAAUCCUUCUCAAGGAACUGACAAAUUCAUGGGAAUAUAAAUUUUUAGAAUAUGAGGUACAAAUAAAAAUGCUAGGGAUGCUCAGAUUAAGUAGAGAUGAUUUACAAACAGGGAAAAUCAGAGACAGCGUCAUUCCUGGAGAAGGCUGCAUUUGGACAGGUUUGGAUAUGCAGACGUAUAGGGGGAAGGGCGUUCCAGGAGGUGGAAAUAGCCCAACAAGUAAAUGGAGGUAUUAAAGAACAAGCCCAUAUUCUGGGCUCCUGAGUCACUGGGCAAUAAAUUUGAUCAAUUACAAGAGACAUAAGGGGGAUAGAGAAAGACACAAUGGUAGUAAAAAGGAUCUUGAGAACCAGUGAGUGAGUUUGGGUUCCAUUCUAUGUCAACUGGGUGUGUAUCCAUGGUUUUAUGUGCACCAUUCACUAGUUUCAUUUUUGUUUUCGACUGUGGAUGGGUACAGUCAUCUGUAUUCAAAACUUUUUAGAUUUUAAGUUAUUUACACCUUCCUGUUUGGGAAAUUUGAUCACCUCCCAAUAUGCCUUAAGGUCCUUCAUGUCACCUGAGUGACUCAGUAGUGCUAUGAAGUCAACCACAUGGGGAGAUGAGGAAACUCACAUGGACAGGUAAGAUAACCUGUCUGUGGCUAGUACUUGGAUGGACUGGGAUAUGAAUGUCAUGGCUGCUAACUCCAAGACUUUCUGUUUUCUGAGGUGGGGAAGUGCAAAUAUACCGCAAGAUGGAAGCCAAGGCCAUGUUGCUGAGUGGCAGAGAAGAGACAUUUUGGUGACAGGGACCUCCAGCUGGGGAUUGUCUCUGCUGCCACUGGCUGCUUUUUUAGCUGUGAUUUGCAGCAGUAAAUGCUACGCAGAAUGAAAUCAGCUAUAGAUAUUUCCCUUCUCUCCUGGCUUGGCCUGGUGGGUAUGUCCCCUCCGGCCUCAUCCCAAGUUUCUUAAAGGGCUUCAAAAGAAAUAGAUAUUGACUGAACUCUGGGGUUAUUUAUAAUGGAAAUCCAGUCCCUCAUUCCUCCUGUCCUCCACAGAAGAGUUGGGCUGUUAAUCUGAACCUUGGGGAAUCAGAGGCCCAGUUUGCUUUAUUUAGCUUUCAGGACAUUGGAUUUUUUUUUUUUUCUUUUGCAAAGACCUCAAAGUUCCACUGAAGUUAAAAGUAUCCUAUGUCCCAAUGUCUUGACCAAUUUAAAUAACUCACCCUCUUCUCCAAAUCCUAUCCUCAUGUUUCACAAAGUUGGACAUUCUCCCUUAUGUCUUUUCUUAAGCAGUUGCAUAAAAGGGCAGUUUGGGUAAGAACCAACUUAUGAGCCUACUCCAGAGGCAAUUUACUUAAGUAGUACAUAUACACACACAAAAUAAUUUCAGUGCAUUUAUCUAACAAUUUAUCCAGGAGUUUGUGAGGUCCAAGGAGGAGUCUCUGUGACUAAGUGUUCUGUGUUCCCUAGACUUGAGCACUUGUCCUUGCACAUAAUAAGUGCUCAGUCAUUUGUUGGUUAGUGAAUCAGUUAGUAAGCAUGCAAGUGUCUCCCCACAUGAAGAAGUGCGGAGGGACAACUUGUGGUCAAUCAGUGAUUUUCUUUAGCUAGAAUUUUCUUAUGCUUUUUUGCCUGUUUCCCAUCCCUUCUGACACACGCACACACACACACGCACGCACAGGUUCACUAGUUAUGUUUUAACAUUUUGCCUGUGUUCUAUUGUGCCAGAGACCUUGAUUGCGAUUCACUCAAGACAUUUGAAAAGUUUUAUUUUGACAGAUGUAGUAUAAAGUAAUAUCAAGUACACUGUGUAUAUGUUUAAAAAGUUGUCUUUUUUACUUAAGAGUUGUGUGACCUUAGUCAAGUUACUUAGACGCUAUGGGCUUCAGUUUCCUCAUCUAUAAGAUGGAGAUAAUAAUGGUACCUACCUUUUGAUAAUUAAAUGAGGUGAUAGAGAAUAGAGUAUUUAGCCCAGUCUUUGGCACCUAGCAUGUGCUCAAUAAAUGUCUGUUAGGAUGACAACAGUGAUUUUUUGUGUAGAUAAACGUCUUGGCACAGUGAUAUAUAUGCAUUUAUAAGCAAUAAGCCAACUUCUUCUUUUUUGGUAAGAUGUCAGAUAAAAAUCCAAUAAAAGAUUUUAAUUAUUCAUGCACUUAUUAGCUAAAGACUACCCAUUUAAUCAACAUAUUUGAGAAGACUUACAGUAAAAUAGUGUAAACAAUAUCAUCAUUAACAUUUGGAUUAGGAAAAGCAUGAAUCAUUUAUUGAAACCAAAUAGUUAUAUAGUCCUUUAUUGACUUCCUAAUGCUUUUUCAAACAUUAUCUGUUCUAAUCUUUAAUUUUCACAACUCUUAUUAGGGAGGCAUUAUUACUUAACCUACCUGAUGGAGAGUAAUGUGACUUGCUCUAGUCCUCACUGUUUAGUAUUUGGUUUGGGGAUUCAGAAAUGUCCAAGAGUCCAAGAUCACAGAACCACCCUCCCCAGUAGAAGAGCUAGGAGGCCUUAGUUUGAACUUAAAUCCCUGAACAGGGCUGUGCUCAGAAGAUGUGUUGUUGGAUGAAUGAACAGAUCCCCAAGUAUAACUCCUAAAGUCAAAUGCCAUAAAACUGGCAUAAAACCCUACCCUGAUUUCACUCUCUUGGUGAAAGAUUGGACUCAGGUGAAACUGUCUACUUAGACAUGCCCACUCAUCUUUUCAGGAAUCAGCCUAAGGAACACAGGUAGUGGCAUUUAGUCAUUUAUUGAGUGGUUUGCAUGGAGUCCUAUUUACUUUGAGGAAUUCUCACACUCUUUAUUUCAUGCCAUGAGGUGGUAAAGCAGGAAUUGUUUGUGACUCAUAUUUUGCAGAAGAGAAGACUAUGGUCUGGGGAAGUUGAGCAGCUUGCUUGAGCUCACCCAGGGUGGAGUGGCUGAGCCCAGAUUUGAAAUCACCCACUGAGGCUCUGGGCCCUUUUCCCAGUGCUCUUUCCCUGUGUGUAUCUCUUCCACCUCCCCCAGUCUCAGCCACACAGGAAUACUGCCUGCCUGAGCCCCAGCCAUCGAUAAUGUUAACACUGGUAGAAUCAAGAUAAUAUGACGGUCUUACAAUCUACAAGGCAGAUCUCCACAUCAGUACAGCUACUGUCAGGUGACAUAGCAACAUAGCACCUCUGUCCGUAAAAUUAAGUUCCCCAGGAGGGAAGGGAAACACUGGUCACUUGUAUAUACUCUACAACUUGGUAGAAUUGGCCUCAUGAUGGGUGAUACAGUCAAACUUCUGCAUUUUCAAGUGUCCUGAACUUUAUCUAGUUGACCACUAGCUCAGCCCUUUUACAGUGCCCUGAAAUUUGCCCUGCUUGGCAAUGAUCUCAGAGGGACUUUUGACGUUUUUUGUGGUCAUUGUUUUUAUAUCUGAGAAAAAAUAAAAGUUGCCUAAUUUGAAUUAUUCUGUACACAUUGCCCAAAAAAAUAAAGUCAAUAUACAAAAUACAUACAAAAUAUGUAAAAAACUACUCACUCUGAAUAUUCAUUUAAUAAAUAUUUAUUGAAUGCUGACUAUAUGCCACACUCACUUCUAAGCCCUAAAGAUACAAGAGUCAAUGAACAUAACAGACAUAUUAUGAACAUAACAGACAAUUCUUCUAGUGGGAAGAAACAGGCAAGAAAAGCACGGAAAGGAAAUAUAACAGGGAUGCUAUAUGCUAUGCAGAACACAUUAGGGGAUGGGAGAUACAGGGCAUGGAUGUACUAUUUAGUGGAGGUGAGAUUUGAGCCAAGGCCUGAAGGAAGGAGUGCACCCUGUUGCCAUCUAGGGGAAGAAUGUUCCCGAAAAAGGAAACAUCAUCUGAACGGUCUUACGGCGGGAGGCUGCUUGGGUGUCCUGGGAACAGCAAGGACGCCAGGGUAGCUGGAAUAAAGUCCCUAAGGGGAAAGGGGUAGGAAUCGAGGUCUGACAGGCAGCAGGCGAGGCUGUUGGGUCUGGCAGGCCCUGAAGGGGACCAUGGCUCUGACUCUGAGUGAGACAGGAAGUCACUGGAGCAUUCUGAGCAGAGAUGUCACACGAUCUGGCUUGGGUUUCAAAUGGAUGACCCUGGAUGCUACGUGGAAAGUAGACUUGGGAGGUGGGUACGGUGAGGAGAAGAGAGGUGGAUGGAUAGCCUACUCCAAGAGUUUAAGCCUAACAUGAUUGUGGCUUGGACCACAACAGUCCAUACUGUUGGCCCCAAAUAAAGGAAAUCUCUGGGCCAAACUUAAGGAUAAUUUAUCUUUAAAGGCUUGAACUAUGGGAGAGAGUUCAGGAAAAUUUAAACAGAAUUUAAAGUUAUAUGACUGUUUCUACCCCUCUAGGGUAAUACAAAUAAGUAUUAUCUUUGGUUAGUAAAUAUAUAGGCAACUUCCCCUUCCAACUUUGGAAAAUAAAGUAACAUUCCAUAUUACUUCUCUUGGUUCUUCUAUGACUUGAAUCAUGAAAUGGGUUGUGAGCUGAAUAAUUUAGCCAGUUGUUAAGUGAUAAAAAAAAGCAAAAGAAAAUAAUUGUCAGGGCUCUACAGAAGUUAAUGGUAGAGUAUGUUGCAAUCAGAAAAGUUGAAGUUCUCUCAGAAACGUCAAUAUUGUUAUCUGAACAUGUGAUAGAGGCACAGGUCACCAGAUGUGGAGGAGAUCCCACUUUGUCCAUGAAGAAACUGAGACUCAGGAGGGAGAUAAACUGUCCAAGUUACACAAAAGUUAGUAAGUUUGGACCAGAACUUGAUUCUCACUCCAGCAUGAUGCCUAAUCCAUAAAAAGUUUUCCUUAUAAAUAUACUUUGUUACUAAUGCGUUAGAGGGGUUGAAGUAUCAUUCACAUCUCCUCCUAUUAAGAACCCCAGUCUUCUCCGUUUCUUGCACACCUGACAAGAACCGGCUCCAUCCUCGUCAUCCUAGCCGUACCAUCUUGGUUCCUUCAUCUCCUCUCUCCCUGUCUCACACUCCAUCUUCACAUAACCCCAUGGGGAUUAGCUGUCUUCUGCUCUGUUUUACUUGGGGAAUCUGCCUGCCUGGAUUGUACACUCUCACUCCACAGAGAGGGAGAAGCUAAGCAGAUAAUACCUGGAUGUCCUGAUGGGUCGGGAAAACUCCCCAAUUUUAAUGUUUUUGCUCCUUCACAAAAAGGAGUCACAUUUUCAAGCCUUGGAAUUUCAAUAUGUGGCUUUGUUCCCACUACUUUAUAUGUACUCAUGCAUUAAUUUUCUCAGGAAGGAACACAGUGUGAAUUUGAAUGUCAAAAAAUGCAUAGGAUUCUUUUUAUUAUGUCUAUGGUAACAGAAAUUUGGAAAAAAAAAACAACUUGAAAACAAGGAUCAGUCAGCUCAGAAAAGCACUAGAAAGCUAGACCCAGCUCUAGGACUCAGUGGCUUUGUCACCUUCAUUGAGGCCAUUUUCCUUCAGGAACUCUACCAUCUGACCUAUGAAAUGAAGGGAAGAGGAGAUUGGAGUUUGCCGCCAGCAUCUGCGGGCAUCUCAAAGCCUCGUUCCUAAGACUUUUCCAUGUACAUGCCAGACUUUUCUUUACAUCCCCAGGCCGUUUAUGCAGUCCCUUCCUCACCCUACAAUCUCAACAUCCUCCUUCAUAAUCUCAAAUUCUGUGACUCACACUCAGAUGAAUACAUAUUUACUGAGAGAUUCUCUUGUGCUCACCACUGUACUGGGCACUGCAAAGUAAUGAAAAAGGAACAUAAGGCAUCAUUUCUUCCCUUAAGGAAAAUUAAUUGAAAGAGAGGCCUUUUGGCAUUAGAAAAUUUUGCAUUAUAGAUUUUUUUAAGGGAUAAAAUUUUAGUGUCUCUAUGCACCUUUCAUAGUUCAAAAUAAGCCCAGAAAGAUCUGCUUAGGAAAGCACUUAGAGGAAUGCUUUAAUUAAUCCACCAAAAUGCUUCAAAAUGAACAAAUCAAGGGCUUUUUGUAAAUGGGGGGAUCAGAGAGUCAGAAAACAAUUGAUUCUCUUAACUAUCUGAAACAUUUUUGUCAUAGUUUUAAAUAUUAAUUUGUUCUAUUAUGGAAGAAAAAAUAACAAUCUAGAUAUUUUCUGAGGGAUCGCAUUUUCAGAAUGAUUGGAAUCUAAAAGCUGAAUGAAAAGUACAAUCCCUUUGCCUGAAAUGCUUUGUUGCUCCAUUCUACUUGUCAAAAUUAUAAACAUCUUUGAAGGUUGAGUUCAAAUAUUGCCUCAUUCAUCACCAUCACCAUCAUCAUCAUCAUCAUCAUCAUUCCCUCCUUUUUUAAAAAUUAAUUAAUUUAUUUAUUUUUGCUGUGUUGGGUCUUCGUUUCUGUGUGAGGACUUUCUCUAGUUGUGGCAAGUGGGGGCCACUCUUCAUCGCGGUGCGCGGGCCUCUCACUAUCGCGGCCUCUCUUGUUGCAGAGCACAGGCUCCAAACGCGCAGGCUCAGUAGUUGUGGCUCACGGGCCUAGUUGCUCCGCGGCAUGUGGGAUCCUCCCAGACCAGGGCUUGAACCCGUGUCCCCUGCAUUAGCAGGCAGAUUCUCAACCACUGCGCCGCCAGGGAAGCCCCAUUCCCUCUUUUAAAUCUGCAUGGUUGACCAUCUGCGCUGCCUUACAGCACUCAUUACCUCUACCUUCCCUCAUAGCGAUUUGAGUACCUGACAUCUUUUGUCCUGGGCUGGGCUCUCUGGAGCAGGGAGCAUGUCUAAUUCAUCUGCUCACACUGUGCCUUGUAAGUAGCAGGAUUCUGCGUGAUGUUAGAGCAAUGGUCUGGUUGCCAUUCUGUAAUGGAUGACUGUAUCAGUUGGGGUACAAUUUCACCUGUUCUGCAAGAGACCGAAAAUAGUAAUGGCCAAAACAAGUUAGAAAUUUCUUUCUUUUUUACAUAAAAAAUACUACUCACAAGGAAAUUAGGGCUAGUUAGGUAGUUCUAAAAUAUUUGGAAGCCAGGCUCUUCCUAUCUUUUUGCUCUGCCAUCUCCAGAAUAUUGCCCUUAUCUUCAUGGUAUAAAAUGGGUUCUCUACCAUGUCUAUAUUCCAGACCAUUGAAAGGAGGAAAGGGGGAGAUGGAGGUCCCCCACUUCCACUUAAUGCACAUCUGGGCAGUUGUACACAUUGCUUCCAUUCACAUCCCAUUGAGAACUACGUCUUCUGAUCCAUUUAGUCAAUGGUGUGCUGGAGCCCAGUCCCAGGGCAUGUGAAAGCCCACUGCGUGCAUUUCCUCUCAACUCCGCAUUCAGUGAGUCAUGUUGGCGGCUUGAAAUCAAUCACAGGAGAAUUAACACCACAGAAAUGGGCAAAUGCUAUGAAUCAAGGCUUUUGUUUCCUUCCAUGAGAGCUGAUUAUUAAAAUUUACUUGUAAUCUGCUACACCUAACUGCAAGAGAAGCUGGAAAAUGUAGUCUUUUUUACAACUCCUUGCUCCCAGAUAUGGAAUUGUUAGCUGGGCAGCAGGUGUCUAGCUAACAAUUCUGUAUAUGGGAGGAAGGAGUUGUAUUUCUAUAGAAAAAGCUAAGGAAGAAUAUUUGUAAACAAUUAGAAGUCUCUUUAAACACGACACCAUCUGGGAAUAGAGAAAAAGAAAAUUGGAAAACCUGUUUUUAACUGAGAGAAUAGAUCUAUCUAUAAGUGUAUGUACUUGCAGCCUUUCUGCUGCCAACUUCCAGCUGUGAAAGACCAUGCUAGAGAGAAAUUAAGCUUCUUUGUGUGAGCUCAAGGUAUAGGUCUCUGGGCAGAGGUUACAUGAGCCAAAUUCUGCUCAUUUUUGACUAUUUGUACUGUCCAAAACUGCAACACUGGUUUCCAUCACCGCCAGUGUCCAGGCAGGAGCUGGAUGAUCAUGCACAGGGUUUCCAUAGAGGAGAUUUCAUUGUGACUGGAGGUUCCCCUCACCAUCUCCAAGUCUCUGUUCAUGCUUCAGAUACUCUUCCUGACCCCUCAGAUUCUUAGGGCUUCCAGUACUUUCCUUUGUUCCACUUACCACAGUUGUAAUUAUUACUAUACUAAUGCAGUCGAUGUCAGUCUCCUCAACCAGACUGCAAGAGAAACAACUGAGUUGUUUUACUCACCGUUGUGUCUGCUACAUGGAGCAAAGUGCAUGGCCACUAAGGGCACUCAUUAAAUGCGUGCCAAAUGGAGGCUGAAUGCUGUGACAUAUCAUGUGUGAAAGUGCCUUGUAAACUGCUCACAAUAAUUAUUCUUUAGAAAUAAGAUACUGAGCUACAAAACAGAACAGAAAGCAGGUGAAGGAAGUGGCAGUAAAUACUACCAGACAUCUAGAAGGAACUGAAUUUGAUUGUAAGCUUCCUGGAACUAAGUACAAAAAGAGAACACACUGGGUUACUGAAUUUUCUUUUUCUAGUGAGAUAUGACUUGUGAAGUCAUCGGCAGAGGCCGAGUUUCCCUAGUGAUUUAUUAAAAUGAGACCAUUGUUUCCUCCCAGUUAAUGUUUAAGCAUGAUCAAAUUUCUCCUAACUUAAAAAAAAAAAAAAAGAAGCAGAGACAAAGAACAGAAGAGAAACGUGCCUUGUCAGCUGUCUGACCCAUCCAGAUUCCUUUGUAUAUGGUGUGCGCUGCCUCACUGCGUUGUCCCGGCUUCCUCACCUCCCGGUCAUGGCUCAGCUCACUGGAGUCUUGCUUCUGCUCUGACCACCCUACCCGAGCUGCCGUGCUGAAGGACCAUAGUAAAUGUGUCCUGGCUCUAUCUCGGCUUCAAUCUUUUUUUUUUUUUUAGGAUAGAUUUUAUUCAUUUUUUAAAAUUUUUGUUUAUUUAUUUUUGGCUGUGUUGGGUUUUCGUUGCUGCACGCAGGCUCUCUCUAGUUGCGGUGAGCGGGGGCUACUCUUCUUUGCGGUGCAUGGGCUUCUCUUGUUGCGGAGCAUGGGCUCUAGGCACCCAGGUUUCAGGAGUUGUGGCACGUGGGCUCAGUAGUUGUGGCUCGCAGGCUCUAAAGCGCAGGCUCAGGAGUUGUGGUGCACGGGCUUAGUUGCUCCACGGCAUGUGGGAUCUUCCCGGCAGGGAUCGAACCCGGGUUCCCUGCGUUGGCAGAAGGAUUCUUAACCCCUGCACCACCAGGGAAGCCCUAAGCUUCAAUCUUUAUUGCAGUAGUCAUUUCUUAAUUAUUUGAAACUCUUGCCCCUGCUAGAUCAUGUCCCUUGGUUCUGGGACACAAAACUGUACUGGUUUCCUUCCUGGAGCCUCUUUCUCAGGCUCUUUAAAGGACUGCUUGAGCUCUGUUCUUCCAGGAAGUAUUGGCAUUCCUCGGGGUCUUGAAAUUUUUUCUUUGACCCUUUCCUCUUCUCACUCUACGUAGCCUCCUGAGGAAAUGUGAUUGACGCUAAUGGCCUUAAUUACUCUCUAGAUCUUAAUGACUCCUGAGUUUUGAUCUUUAGAAUGGAUGACCCACCCGAGUUUUAAACCCACAUAUUUAACUACCCUGUGGAUAUCACCUUGAAUUCAGCAUGCCCCAAAUACAGCCCAUAUUUUUCCUUCUUCUUAACCUUUUCUUCCUCACGUGUGCCCCAUCUCAGUGAAGGGUCCUCCCUUCCACCCAGCUUCUCAAGAUAGAAAUCUUGUCAUCCUCUUUAACUUACCUCUCUAACUCCUCCUCCCCCCAACACUCAACCAGCAAGUCCUAUUAACUCUCCUUCCUAAAUAUCUCUCAAAUCAGUCCACUGAUCCCUAUCACCAAUGUUGCUACCUUAACGCAGGCCCCUGGAUUUCCAUGCCAGCUCUUCACCAGCUAUGUGCUGGUCUUACCCUGCUUCUAACUGAUUUUCCACAAAGCAGCCAAAGUGGUCUUUCUGAAGCAACACUCUGAAACUUGUUGCUGCCCUGCUUACAACUUAUCAAUGGCUCUCUGUGGCCUUCAGAAUAAAGACCUAACUCCAUAAUGAGGCUUAAGCGGCCCUGCCUGUUCUGACUCCUGCUUACCUUCCAGCCUUGUCUCCUUCUGACUUCUAAACCCCACUCCUAAACUCCACACUCCCACCAGCUGAGCUGCCUCCGCUCUCCACAGUACCUGGCUCUCUCUUGCCCCAGUGUCCCGGCACGUGUUGUGUUCAGGGGCCCAGUCCAAGUGGCCUUCCUUGACUUUCCAAGUCUGUGUUAGGUCUCUCAUGGAACCCUGUCCUCACUCUACAUGGCACUGUCUUUGGUGUAUUUUAAGGAUUUUUAAACCAGGGUACAAACCAAGUCAACAGACUUUUUCUAUAAAGGGACAGAUUACAGAUAAGAAAUAGUUUUGUCUUUGUGGGGCAUAUGGCCUCGGUCAGUUACUCAGCUCUGCAGUUGGAGAGGGAGAGUGGCCACAGACACUACACAGACUAGUGGUGUGGCUCUCUUCCAAUAAGACUUUAUUCACAGAUGCAGAUGGUGAGCCAGACUUGGCCCAUUGGGCAUAGUUUGCUGACCCCUGGUCUAAAAAACUAAGCUAGUAUGUUCUUAUCCACCUUUGUAUCCACACUGCAGACACAGUACUUGACAUACAGGCUCCUCUAUGAAACUUUGUUGGAUGAAUGAGUGAAUGGAAGAUGAACAAAUAAGGAUGGACCUUUUUCCUCUUUCUCCUCUGUGGCCAUAUCUCCUUGGUCACAAUAUGCUCCACGUGCAUUUUAUGUAGUCAGUGAACCCCCAUGAGGGGGUUUUCAUCUGGCAUGCUCAUCUACACAUUUGUGUUGAGCAAAUACCAUCUCAGAAGUUUUGGUUCCUUUGGUGGUAGUGGUCAAGUUUUAAAUCCUUUGUCACUACUUCCCAGCCGUCCCCCACAACACAGUGUUUUGUUUUUUCCUAGGUAUGAUAGUUAAAUGUUGGAUUCUCCAGAUGCCCUUCAUAUCAUCAUUAUAGACUUUAGUCAUUUUAUUUGUGUGUGUAUAGAUGUAGUCAUUCCUUUGUUCCAUACUUAUUUAAACCUAUCUUAAAACCUUUUUUGAGCAGGUAAAAUAUUAGAGAAAAAAAAAACUCAGUUAAAUCAAUGAAAAAAGCACUUAUUAAGCAGAGGGCACAGGUGAAGUUUCAGCGGGCAGUCAGUGGGGACAAAGAUAACUCAGAUAAGGUAUUGUCUCUGAAGGGCUUAUAAUGCAGAAGGGAGAUAAGAAGGUGGGCAAUUUCAAUACAAUGUAGAAAGUGCUAUGUCCUUUGAAGAAGGGAUCAGCAAAGUACUCUGGGACUUUGAUAGGAAGUGAAACUUGUCUUUAGCCAAGGAGAUCAAAGAAGGCUCUGAGAGAGAAGCAUUCAAGCUGGACAUGGAAAUGUAGGUAUUUGGGACACUGAUAUGUCACUAAAGGGUCUUCGAGACAGAGGAAAGAAUAGGCACACCCACAAGUUACUAGAAAGCAAGUUUUAAUGAAGCUACGUCCAGGGACCGGCUGAUAAAAGUGCAGCCAAAUCCCUUCAAGGAGGUGCCAAGUCCAUUCUGGUCUGGAAUGCAUUGAUAAUUGGGACAUUAUGCUCAGACACUGCAAAUUGACAUUCUGUCGUCAUCCCUCUUGGAAUAGAAACCCUGAUCCUUUCAAGUAAUUAGCACCAAUUUGGAGCUUGUGUGCAAAAAUAAAUCACAAGUGUCCAAAAACAGAUACAUUAAGUUCAAUGGUUAGGAAGCAAACGUUCUUAUUAGCUCCGCCUACAUCAACAAAAUCAGAAGCAAUUAGCAUUUAAAAAUAGAAGAGACAAGGAGAGUUCACAGUUCCCACUGGAAAAUUAUUAUUUGUAUAAAUGUCCACAAUGUUGACCUCCAUGCACCCUUCCUGACCUCAGUCAUGUUAUUUCAAUGGCUAAAGGAUCAGUUUUCUUUUGUGAGGGUUAGGGAGGAGAACCGUGAUUCUGUGUGUAUUGUCCUGGUUGAAACUGAGAGGUGCGUGGCCUCUAGCACUCAAACAGGUAGGGCUCCAUCUCCUCUUCACUGGGCCUCACCCCAUCCUCUGCACGGAUGAGAAGAGGAUCUGCUGUGUCUUGAAAUGCUCAGCAGAUCUGCCCCCAGAAGCCCACUUGCAUUCAGUAGUGUUGACCUUCACCCAUGGGACACCUGCCUGCUGGAGAAAGCCUCAGUGGUCCAUCCUGAGGAAGGGUGGCAGCUCCCAGGAACCCAGCAGUGCACACUUUGUAGUGGCCCUUGACGCACUCUCUAGGACAUGGAAUGUCUCAGUCAAGGAUGGAGUCUCACCAUUGGCGUUCGGUGUCAGACUGCAGAGGCAAACUGAGCACGGAGCACCUGAGGGACUGAGGUGUGAUAAAGAGCACUGGCCGCUGGCUCGACAGGACUCGACAAGUCCAGGCUGUGUCACUAACUUGCUCUGUAAACUUGGUCAAACCACUAGCUCUUUCUGGGCCUCAUUUUCCUCAUCCUUAAAAUUAGGGGCUGAACUGGGUUAUCUUUUUGCUUUAUUCCAUAUGGUUUUUUUUUACCCUUUGAAAAUUCAAGUCUUUUUCUGCCUCUUUUUAUCCCCCUGCUUGGAAACAUAUAGUGAAUGGCAGGCUGGAAGGUGAGGUGUAGGACUCAAAUAUUUUUCUAUUCCUCAAAAAUGUGUGAAAAUAUACCCCAUACUCCCUUCCCCCAAAAGACUGUGGCUUUAGGAACACAGGACAGGCAAGGAAGACACAGAAGGUCCACUUGGCAGGGCCAGGGCAGAACCCAGCUGAUCGCCAUCAGCCUGAGAAACAAACAUCACAUUUAAAGUUGAUGGGGGGGACUUCCCUGGGGGCGCAGUGGUUAAGAAUCCGCCUGCCAAUGCAGGGGACAUGGGUUUGAUCCCUGGUCCGGGAAGAUCUCACAUGCCGUGGAGCAACUAAGCCCGUGCACCACAACUACUGUGCCUGCGCUCUAGACCCCGAGAGCCACAACUACUGAAGCCUGCGCACCUGGAGCCCAUGCUCUGCAACAAGGGAAGCCACCGCAAUGAGAAGCCUGCACAACGCAACUAGAGAAAGCCCGCACGCAGCGACGAAGACCCAAUGCAGCCAUAAAUAAAUAAAGUUGAUGGGACUUUGGAAUCAUUAUGGGCUGAAGAAGGAGAGAUUUGCUCAAAGUGGCAAGUUAAAGACAACUGUGAUUCAACUUAUUGGCUCCCAGUCCUUUUUCUACCAUGUCUUUCUUCCUCUGGCUUUCGUAUUUCUAACCCGUAAUCAGAGCCUAGGGACUGAUGACAUGUGUCCACUUUAAAUAAAAAUAUCAGUUUUUUAUAGGGAUGGGGAGUGGAUUAAAUCUUUGACCAUUAGUUUUUGUUAGGGCAUCACUCAUUUUUUCAUACUUUCCCUCUUAAUUUUUCAUUUUUCUCCCUUGUAAUUAAUACCAGUUUCCCCAACCACCUUGCACACACACGAAUGUUUUUCCUUUUUUUUUUUGCAAAAAUUAAGAGUUGAGCUAGCUCCUUCUUGUGUAUCUUCCCAUCUGCCAGUCAGUUUAUAUUCCAACGCCUCGUCCAUACUUUCCUCGAGGUUUCUAAUUUCCCUACGUACAGAUCCAUCUCCUCUGGUAAGUCAUAAGCUCUUUGAGAACUGGGAACGUCUUUGGAUUUCUGUUUCCAAGGCCAGAAAUGCUGCUCAGUUGUUGAUUGAAUACAUUCAUGGAAGAAAGAGGCACUUCAUCCGUAUCCAGAUUGUGCCCUGAAGGCCCUCAGAGUGAUGAUAAGCUUAGCAGUGGCCUCCAUUUCAUCCUUUAUGAGGAAUCAGAAAAGGUCAGAGAAUGGGCAGAUCAGGCUUGGCUUCAUUGGAUUUCCUACCUUAUUUCUCUAUGGCUGUAAACUCAUCAAAGAGCACUCCUGGGUGGCCAGAGUACACAGAGGGACCCUGCCCAGGCUUAGGAGAUGGGGAACAAGAGCAAGAAGCCAACUCCUAAACUUUGGGUUGUCAGUCUCAGCAUGAGGGCAUCCCAGAGCCAACCCCCCACUGACUUUGGCCAGGGACCUAGGUCUGUUCACUGUGCAUAAGCAUUUGUCAACCUGGCCACUGGGAGGGGAUCCUGGCAACAGACAGGCACCAAGGGUGGUACCUGAAACAAUGUUGGAUCGAGUGGCCUUUUCACUCAGAAGCUUGGAGGAGGAGAAGGAGGGGGAGAUGAUAUAAAAAUCCAUGUGACUUCUGUCCAAUGGCAAGAGAGAAAGGAGAGGCUUCUUAAAUGGUAGUGAAAGGUGAGAUGGCACAGGGAUGAGGGAGUGAGAGAAAGUCCUUGUGGACAGGAGAUGGAGGAAGAGUCUGGACUGAGGCUGGAGGAAUGAGAGACAGAUAUAAGAAAGACUGAGAACAAAUACAUAUGGGAAGGAAGGAAAUGAGGGAAGGAAGGAGGGAGGGAGAAAGGAAGGAAGGAGGGAAGGAGAGAGGGAAUGAAUGAAAGGACAUUAAAAUGCUAAAAAAGAGACAGGCACAGACAUCAGGAGAAAAAAUCAGAACUAGGUUGGGAAUGAAAGAAAACUGUGAGGAGAGAGAAGAGAGAUGCAAUGAAGGAGGGUGUGUACACACACAAGACAGGGACAACUUAACGCCAACCUGACCUGCUCAGCUCAGAAAAAUUUCGUUUGUGAGCCUGGCACAGGAAAGAUCUGGACAGAGAGGGAAAUGGGCUGACUCCUGCCCAGGGCCUGUCGGAGGAAACAGAUCAAUUAACCUGGGUGGGGAUCUCCUGUGCCAGGCCUGGCACUGCCAGCUCUCCGUGCCCAGCUAGGCUAGGCCAAGGACUCUCAUGUGAUCCUUGAGCUAUUAAAAGGCCAUCAGCUGCAGGGCAGAAUCAGCCUUUUACGCUGAGAAAAACCCUCUUCUCAUGCGGACAUCACUUCCUAUGGCCCAGAAACCACCUCUCAGACAGGCCCAGCCCUGGACCCAGUAAACCCGCACCCCUUGGCCUGGGGAAACUGACCAUUGGGAAUCUCAGCAGGUUUCGAGGACCCUCUGGGGGCCAACACAGCCUGGAACAUCCAAUUGAUGAAGUGAUCUUAGGGCAUAUUUGUGGGUGGAGCAGGAGGUGUCUGGGGCAGAAUGUUGCCUUAGAUCUUGGAUCACUGGGUGCACGUUAUAGGGAGAAAGAUUUCAGCACCAGGAAGGACUUUGAAAUCAAAGCUAGACAAAGCUGGAUUCAUUAAUUUGUACAUUUGUUAUUUUUCCAACAAUUUUUGAGCAUCUACAAUGGGUGGGGCAUUGUGCUAGAGGCUGAAGAGACAAGUAAACACAUCCACUGGCCUCAGGGAGAGAACAAUGGCGACUUUGCUUCCUCUACCCAAUUUAACAGUAGGAAGGUGCGCGUGGAGUGUAUCGGGAGCACGAAGGUGACUGAUCCUGUUUCCAGGACAAGCAAGUUUUCCAGGAAAAGCAAGUUUUCCAGGAACUGCGCAUUGGAGUACAGCCAUAAAGGUUGAGUAGGAUCCAUGAGGCAGAGAAAGUGGAGGAAUCCUAGACCAAGAGAAUCACAGGAAGAAGCUGGAAAGUGUGAAAGGGCAGGUGGCUUACCUGGGGGAUGAACCGGAGGAAACACCUUAGUAGACACGCCGGCCUCUCUGGAGAUAAAGGUGGGAUGGAGGUGGGUCCAGAUAAGGACAGACAAAUAAAAAGGCACAGAGACACCCCAAAUUUUAGUCAGAAGGGAGCUUAGAGAUGAUGGAAGUCAUCUUUGUCCUUGUUACAGAAGUUUUCAAUUUUAAUGUGAGUGUGUGUGUGUGUGAAAUAGGCUUCAUUGAAGAGUAUCCAGGGUUGGACACAGAAGAAGGAGGCAUGAUAGCAACUCAAAUAAUUUCAAACUGGGGACUUCCCUGGUGGUCCAGUGGUUAGGACUCUGUGCUUCCACUGCAGGGGGCACGGGUUUGAUCUCUGGUUGGGGAACUAGGAUCCCGCAAGCCGCAUGGCGCGGCCAAAAAUUAAAAUAAAAUAAAAUUUAAAAAAAUAAAAUAAAACGUUCAAAUAAUUUCAAACUGAAUAUGUGAUUCCUCUUCUCUGAAGAGACCUGCUAGGCUGUCUUUACUGACUGCUUUACCUGGAGUGGUGGCCACCAGCCUCCUGCCUUCUCAGGGUUUUUUCUCUGCCUUCUUUCCCAUCUCAAGUCUUCACCCAGCCCUCCAGACUGCCCGCACCAGGCACAGAAAAUUUUCUCUGUUGGGUCUCCUUUAGAUAAUGGAGCCAUCUGAUAAAGUUACAGCAGCAUCUUGGAUUCACAACAACCCCGCCAGCUCCUCACUGAACAACACGUCGUCUGGCAACAGGAGGUGCUUGAUUACAUUUGGCUGGAGCGCCGGCAUCAACUCCAGUUGUCCCUGAAUUGGAAUUGAUGGGCCUCACGCGCUGCAGCCAACAGUUUGCCUUCACCCACUCCCCUCUCUCAAAUGAACCUUCUUCUGGGACAACAAGAAACCUACGUGCCAUCCUGGGUGAGAGACGAAUGGGAGCUGCGUCCCAGCAUCGAAUCCCUGGAGAGACAGGGAAGAGCAGACUCGGAGGGGUUCCCGACAGCAAGCCAUGCUUCAAGCAUUUCUGGAGAGACCCCCUGGACCACAGGACGCAAAUGCUCUCUCUGGAGGACUGGAGCCUCUGUGUUCCUUUCAGCUCAUGGGCAUCGAUUCUCCUUGUGUGCAGGGUAGGGCAUCAAGCGACUCUCCCCUUUAGGCAAGCCUCCAUGACCUCCCUCCCCCUAUUCUGACUUAUCUGCUCAGUGAGUCACUUGCGCAGGCAGAAUAAAUGCCCCCGAAGAUGUCCACGUCCUAAUCCCCAGAACCCGUGAAUAUGUUAUAUUAAAUGGCGAGGGCUAAUUAAGGUCGCGGAUGGAAUUAAGCUUGCUCAUCAGCCUACCUUAAAAAAUAGGGAUAUCAUCCAGGACGAAUCAUGGGGCCACAGUGUAUUCACAAAGGUCCUUAAAUAAGGAAGAGGGAGGCAGAAGAGUCAGAAGCAGACUGGGGGCAUUGUGAAAAAGACUUGACCUGCUGUGGUUGCCUUUGAAGAUGUAGGAAGGGGCCACGGACCAAGGAAUGUGGGCAGUCUCUACAAUCUGAAAAAGACAAGAAAAUAGAUUUUCCCCUGGAGCUUCCUUGAUUUUAACCCAGUGAGGCCUAUUCAGACUUCUGACUUCCAGAUUUGUAAUAUUUUUGCUGUUACAGCAGCCAUAGGAAACCAGGACUGUCACCAUGGACUGUCGCCAUGUACCCAGCCUGGUACCGGUGCUGAGGUAACAUUCCCCAAGCAUGUGAUUUCUACCUUGUAUUAGUCAUCAGGAUCUAACCAGGGAAACUGAGCCCACUCUAAGUGUCUAAACACAGGAAAUCGAAUGCAGAUCAUUGGCUGUAUAGACGAUAGAAGAAGUUCAAAAGCCAGUCCAGCCAUUAGCCAUAACAGUGGUUGCUACUAGGAUGCUACUAGGCUGAGCUAGAGGGACAAAGAGAGGAGAUCAUAUACCGGAGUCCAGAGGCCAGGAUCACCUGGAAGAAGCUGGACCAUGGUGGGCCUGUCUAGCAGGAGCUGGAGCUAUGGAGGGAACAGAGCCCUGCUGUAGAAGCUGCCUGAGACAGAAAGGGAAAGAGAUAUACACCCUGGUUUCUCCCUUUCUCCUACCCUCCAAUCUCCCACCAACACCUCCCAUUGGCUCUUACUAGCUGGAAGGCAGCUGACGUGGGAGCCUGGGGUACACAGGAGGAAGCCCUCCUGCAGGACAGAGCGGAGCUGGGAAACAGCAGUGAGCGGAUUAAUGGAUUUGUAGAUGAAUAGGCCCCAGACUGGUACAUACCUCCUUUCUGCUUUGAUCACCAUGAAUCUUGAAACAUAAUUUAUUGUUUAAAAUCCAAAUUCUUGACCGUGGCUUCUAAGACCUGACAUAACCUAGCCUUCCUCUAAUUUCUCUGCCCUCAUCCUAUAAAGUUCUCCCCUCAUUCACAGCACCCCAACCCUUCUGGCCUUUGUUCUGUCCUCAGUACGCCAGGCAAGUCCCAUCUUGGGACCUUGCACUUGUUUGUUGUAGCCUCUGCUGGACUUCCCUCCUCUUGUCUCUCCCCUACUGAUCACUUUUUAUCAUUUGAGUUUCAGCUUAUGUAACACCCUCCCCCAUCUAAAAUAGGUCCCCUCACCAAAAGUCACCAUCGUAUUCCCCUAUUUUUUUUUUUUCUUCAAAGUAGCUAUUAUUAUCUGAAAUUAUCUUGGCUAUAUGUGUAUCUAUUUAUCAUAACCUUCCCCAGGCUGUAAGCUCCUUGAGGGUAGGGAAUCUGUCUUGCUGCUUGCUAUGUCCUUGUAUCAGCAUUGGCUAGAUAUUCACCAAAAUCUAUCUCUUCUUCUUGGAAACAGAGUAAGCUCAUGUCCUAUUCCUUUGUGGUUAGGUGUGAUGAAGUUCUAGCUAAUGGAACAGGAGUGGAAACAUUCAGUGCUGCUUCCCAGGCUUGGCCCAUGAAAACCUCUCAUGCACACUCUUGCAUGUUUUCCCCUUUCUGGCAGAUGUUGACAAGGCCCUACGGGAUGGUGGAGGCACAAGAUGAAAGGAACCUGGGCGGUUGAAUGACUAAGUGAAGAAGGGUUGCCCCAGCAACCUGCAUACCCAUCCAGGACUAUUAUGUGAACAAGAAACAAAUGUGUUUUGUGUUGAGUCAUUACAUUAGCCUGUCCUAACCAAAACAAUUCCCACUGCCAAGAAUUCCCAAAGCCUUGUCCAUAAUUGGCUCUCAGUAGCUAUUGAAUGAUUGACUGUUAAACACUCAGUAGUUACAUGUUCAGGGAAGGAAUGUCUUCUCCUUACCCUCAUGCCUUACCUGCCAAGCUCCCUGUAUAUUCACCUCUGGACUCUCGAUGGCUUUCAUGGAGCCUCAGCCUUUGUAGGCGUUUGAUAGUCGUGUGUUGCGUUGAGUUUCUAGGCAGCAUGAGGGAGACAGUGACCAGGCAUGGUCUGCAAGUGUGAGUUUAAGCAGGUAUUCUGCAUUGCCAUAACUACCAAUGUUUGUGAGGUUCUUUAGAGUUAACAAAGGGUUCACUCACUUGAUCCUUAUAACAACUCUGAAAGGAAAUGGCUAUUAUGACCCCCAUUUUACAGUUGACGUGUCUGAGCUCAGAGGUUAAUUAUCUCGUUCAAGAUCUUACUUUUUCAAGGGAUGAAGCUGGUGUUAAUUCAUUGUUCAAAAACAUUUAUGGAGUAUGUACAAUGUGCUAGCCCCUGUCUAAAGCUUCCGUACCUAGUAGGGGUCUCAGGAAACAUGGAAAUCCAAAGUUCUGAAGACACCUCCCAGAAAAUAAGAGGGAGGCCCCAGUUCAAGCCCAGGACUGAGAGCUUUGCCUGUGUCUUGCAGCUUAUGUUGUUAGCUAUGACGCUGCCACGGCUGUGUGCCUUGGGGCAAGCUUCUGGGUGGUCUCCCAGACCUGCCUGGAUACAACAACACGGCUGGGACCCCUCAGCAACUCUCCCACUUGCCCAGCCUAACGGCCCUGGCAUUCUAAGUCUGCCCUUUUCCAUACAUUCUUUCCUCCUUCCGUGCCAAGAUUGCAGCAGACGAUUUAGAAUGGGUUCCAGGCCAUUUAGCUCAGUCAGAGAUUUGGGUGAAAGUUUCCUCCCACCCAUCCCAGGCCUCAGAUAACCCAUCAGAGGGUGACAUCCCACACAAAGGAGGUGGAAGAAACACUGUGGAGACUUUCAGGCACGGGAUUGGAGCAAAAGUUUUGGCAGCUACUGCAUUUCUCCACCCUCUUCUGGCUGUACGAAGUGUGUCAGUAGUGGGUCAGUUGGAAAGCUUAGGACAGAAAGCCCAAGAGGAUGUAACUUGUCUAAACGGAGAUGGCCAAGGCCCCUGGAGGGUCACCCGCAGGUUGGAUUAUUUGCCGACGCAGAGAGGAAAGUGCUGGCAUCUGAGGGGCCUGUGGAAGAGGAAGAGGAAAGUUAGAUGGCCCGUCUCUGCCAGAGCUCAGCCUUUCCCAGCCGGACGACACUCCUCUCGUGCUUGGGUGCUUCUCUCUGUAAAUAAAUCCUGGCUGCUCUUACAGUGCAGGACGUCCCACAUACCGUACCUCUGAGGUGGGGUGAAAUACAAAUAUGCCUUUUCAUAAUAGCUUUACACCUGGAGCAGCAGAGGACUGGUUUAUUGCCUUGGUAAACAGAAGUUUGAAUUCAAGCAAAGUACAAACUUUGCCCAAGGCACUUCUGACAGUGCACCUUGUGUUUGCGAAGUGAACUCGGUAUAUAUGCACGAUGUGAAGCAAUGGAAGGCUGGCCUUUCUCUCUCAUCUGAUUUCCAAGGUUUAAAAGUUCAGCUCCUUGAGGAAUGCAUUUGGCUUAGUUAUUGCAAGCUUUUAAGAAAUUAUCGGAACAUAAAUACUCAUUGCAAGGAAACAGAUAUGAGUUGCAAAUGGAUUAAACAUAAUCCUUGUGCGAGCCCUUGAGGGAAAAUAGACGGGGAUCUCUGGGCUGUGAGACAAAUCUCGGUCAAGGAUGCUUGCUUUGGGGACUCUGCUCUAAAAACCCGGAGCACGGGCUCUAGGCGCACAGGCUUCAGCAGUUGUGGCACGUGGGCUCAGUAGUUGUGGCGCACGGGCUUCGUUGCUCCACGGCAUGUGGGAUCUUCCCAGACCAGCGCUCGAACCUGUGUCCCCUGCAUUGGCAGGCAGAUUCUUAACCACUGUGCCACCAGAGAAGUCCCCAUCACUGCUUUUCAAUACAGGUCCACAGAUUGAGUCCAUGGAAAGAUGUUUGCCCUGAGAAAGAAGAGAGAUGAGAACCCUGGAAUACUUCCACAACGGUGAUUGGAAAUCUUCUUCAAGGGGGCUGAAUGCCUACUGCAACCUGGGUGUGACUAAUCCACAGGCACUUCCAUACGGUAUGGAUCUUGAGUUGUCCUUGCCAUCUUUUGCUUCAUGGAAAGAUCAAUGGAGAGAAAACAAGGACAUUUUCCAAGAUUUCAUGAUGAAUCAGCAACGGCUCUGAGGCAACAUUCCGUUACUGGAUGAGGAAUCAGAAGACAUAAAUUCCAAUCCUUACAUUAUCUCUAACCAUGUGAGAGACCUAGGGCAACUCACUUCCCUUUCUGAGUCUCAGUUUUCCCCCAUCAUGGAAGGGUUUUGCUGGGUGACCUCUAAGAACCUUUCAGCUCUGAUGGCCUAUGGGUCUAGAAGACAAGGCUCAGAGCUAUGUCAUGCCUAAAGCGUGAUCAUUUGAAGCCAGAAGUUGACUGCUACCAUGACGUACCUCAAGGCCCCUCAACCUGUAAGGGAUAAACGGGUUCUGCAUCCAAAACAGAGUAACAGUGUCUUUCAGCGAUUUGCAUGCAAAAAAUAUAUAAGUUCAGUUUUAUUUUUUUCCAUUGCUUUUUUUUCUCAAGCUCUUAAUGCCUGUUUUCACUUGUCUGCUUGCAAGGGCAAGCAUAUAACACAACAAAUAAAUGAAUAACAGACAAAUAGCACAUGAAAGCUCAGAAAUACAGUAUCUUUAUCAUUUUUCCUUUUGAAGUAUAGUAAGGAAAAUAAUAUUUAUUGAAUAUUUCCCACGGUUUAUAUACAGCAUCUUAUUUAAUAUCUUUAAACAAUCAGUGUUAUCAUGGCUUUUUUGCAGAAGAUAGCACUAAGACUCAGAGAUAAAAUCAUUUGCCUAAAUAUCGUAUAUUAACACAUAUAUGUGGAACCUAGAAAAAUGGAACAGAUGAACUGGUUUGCAGGGCAGAAAUAGAGACACAGAUGUACAGAACAAACGUAUGGACACCAAGUGGGGAAGGUGGCGGUGGGUGGUGGUGGGAUGAAUUGGGCGAUUGGGAUUGACAUAUAUACACUAAUAUGUAUAAAAUAGAUAACCAAUAAGAAGCUGCUGUAUAAAAAAAUAAAUAAAAUUAAAUUUAUAAAAAGUUAAAGAUUUUGAAAAAAAUAAAAUAAUUUGCCUAGUAUACACACAAGCAGUAAAGCCCAGAUUUGAAGCCAGUUUUUCUGACUCCAAAGCCUACAUGAAUUUCCACAAUCAAAAAUUUGCAUGCAGAAAACACAGACAUACUGUUUUUGAGCAAAACUGACUUUCUGUAAGAGAGGGAAAUUAAAUAUAUCAGCAUUUUAGUGGGUUCCACAAAGAACAACACCAUGGUUUCCCUGGGUUCCGACAUUAGAACAUCUUUGAAAACAGGCAGAUAAUGUGAGGCUUUAGUCUGACUUUCCCCAAGAAUUUUAAAGAGAGGGGAUAUCUAUGUCUAGAAAUAUUUCGAUCAAAAUAUUUAUUAAUAUAUCCAUAGGAUUAAAGGUGAGAUGACUGUUUCUUCGUUUAGAAUUCAUGUUACUUUAAAAAUACACCAGGCUUUUGUCCUGACCCCCUCCCUAGGCAUUCAAUCCGGUAGUCCUCCCUGGGAUAUAGGGCAAGAUUAGAGUGGGCUUGAAUGAACUGUUUCUGAUUCAGAGACUCCCCUAAGACGGGAGUCUAUAUAGUGCCUUCUCAAAGUGGCCCAUAUAUCAGUCUCCAAAUCUGUGGAGCAACUGGGACCAGAUCACAAGUUCUUUCAUCCAACAUUCUUUGACUGCCCUGGAUGCUUCCGGCACAGGGCAAGACUAGCUCUACCAAAACAAGUACAAUUUAGUCUUGAUGUGGCCUUGGACACCUAACCUAUGUCAGGCCUAGACUCCAGGAACAACUGUGGGAGGCUGCAUUGUCCUGUGCCUGCCUCCAUGCUCUAGAGAUAAAAGUCAAGUGAUAUGGCAAAGGGUGCUGCAUUUUCUGUUCUGGCUUUCACCAAAAUGAAAUAUCUGUGUCCAUUUUGUCUCCCAGUAAUUGCCAGAAAAAUCAAAGAACAUCAAAGUUUGAAAUGACUCUGGAGAGCUGGCUAUCACUCCAUCUCAAAUCUCUCCUUUUAGAGAUGAGGUUACUUUAUUUAUUUAUUUAUUUUUAUUAUUAUUAUAUUUUUUGUGGUACGCGGGCCUCUCACUGUUGUGGCCUCUCUCGUUGCGGAGCACAGGCUCUGGAAGCACAGGCUCAGCGGCCAUGGCUCAGGGGCCCAGCCGCUCCGUGGCAUGUGGGAUCUUCCCGGACCAGGGCACGAACCCGUGUCCCCUGCAUCGGCAGGCGGACUCUCAACCACUGCGCCACCAGGGAAGCCCCUAGAGAUGAGGUUACUGAGGUUCAGAGGGUGGAGGGUUGUCGAAGGUCACCCAUAGGUCACCCGAAGGUCACCUAAAAUCCAGGUCUCCUGGCUCUACACUCAAUGCUCCUUUCACUGCUGUUGUCUAAUUGCCUUGGUAAUGGGCAAGACAUUAGCCUAGAAGGAAAAGAAGUCACUCUUUGUUUAAUGAAAAAUUAUAACUGAGUGGAUAGAUAGAUCUGUACUUCCUCAAACUGCAGUGGCUCAUGGUUAUGUUGGACUGAUUCUAUGACCUAGUAACAAAAACACCUUAUGCUGCCCCAUUAUGAACAUCCUGAACACACCAGACCUUUUCAUGUUCUGCAAAUUAUAGUCCCUGGGUCUGGAAUAUCCUUCCCCUUUCUCCUUGUGGCAAACACUCUUUCAGACCCAAUUCCAUCACUUCCUCUAUGGAACUGUGGUGGAUUUGUUCUGUGGCACCUUAGGUAAGCUGGAACUAUGUUCCCAGACUCCCCUUACAUAGUAGUGUUGGCUACAAGAGACAUUUUUCACAAUAUUUGGAAUAUAGAAGUGAAGCUACUAUGUUAUAAUAUUUAGAAGGUUGUUGCAGGGCACCACGUGUCUCAGUGUCUCAUUCAUAUUGUUCCUGAUUUGCUGGUUUACCUGUUGGGGUGGAGCAGUAGCUGAGCCCUCAGGUCCUCCAAUUCCCAUCAGAGCUCCUCUUGUAGCGCCUCUGAAUCCUGCACCAACAUGUAGGGCUCCAUGGGGAAGGCCAGGUUCUCCUACAGGUCACCAAGGUCAUCACCUAAAGAGAGUGAGAGGCGGAAAUGGACUCCAGUUGGUCCUUGCAGGUUGCAGUCCAUCAUUGCUCCCCCCACUUCAUGCCAUUUCUCUUUCCUAACUGCAUGCCAUGCUGACUCCAAGUCCAGAAACAGACUCUGAAACAACAGCCUCACCUCAGCUGAAUGGGCAGUUCCUAUAAUUGUGAGAAAGGAGCUCUGAUAAUGAAUCUCUAGUUCUACAACACAUGAAGUGGUUUUGCUUCUCUGAUGGAACCCUAAGUGAUCAGGAGUCUUCUGUGAAGCCCCCAGAAUCAGUCAUUUCCAGGCUGUGCCCUUCUAUUACAGCAGACAACACACUGUGCUGUACUCUCAUGAUGGACAAGUCUCUCUCUCAUUAGCAGGGAUAGCUGACAUGUACUGCGUGCUGACUUUGUGCCAGGCACUAUUUUGAGCACAGAGUUAAUUCUUACAACUGAAUGAGGUAAACGUUAUUAUUAUUCCCAUUUUAUAGACAAGGCAACCGGGGACCAGAAAAGCUAAGUGAUUUACCCAGGCUUUCACAACUAGGAAGGGGAAGACCCAGGAUUCAAAACCAGGCAGCCUGGUCCAGAGCCAGCACUCUGACCCUCUCUGUGCAAGCUCUUUAAGGAACAAGUCUCAUUCGUUACCCAACUCUGGCACUAGAAUGAAAGAAUGAUCCAUCUACUUCAUCUGAAGAUAAAAUGACUUUUCUACAAAGUUGAUGGAGCAUGGAUGACAAUGGAAGCUUUGGAGCCUAGGGUCCUACUGUACCUUGAAUGCUAUCCCUCCCGGACUGGAAGGCGAGAUUAUAAACAGUCCAUAGUCAAGGUCUUGUUAGUAGACAAGAGAACUGCUUACACACAAAGUGUGCAUCACCUGAAGGCCAUCAGCAUGCUUUCUGGGAGCAGCAAACCGACAAUGCAGCACACCACAAGAUGAGCCUGUUUUUCUCCCCAGCCCAGGCCGACACCCCACCCUGGGUGGAGUCCUCUCUACCCUGUGAGUCUCCCAGACUGGAGGGCUGAGCCCAGCUGGAGGGCAGAAUUACCACCCAGGUGCUAUGUAUACAAUUCCUGUUUAAUACUUCACUUCUUCUACGUAACCUCAAAACUGCUUUUUGUAUGUAGUAAACAUGGACUAGGACUCACAUUUAGUUUUUAGUGUGAUUGCCAGUUUCUAGAUAUCAAAUUUGAAUGAAGACUCAAGUUUGGACUUCACAUCAGUGUAUCUUGGGCCGUAGAGUCUGUUGUUCAAUGUGAAAUUGGGUGUUCCCUAUUCACCUAUCCAGGAGGGACAUGGGGAAAUUAAUGGCCUCUAUCUUACGUGCAACACACCAAAAGUUUUUUUUUAAUAAAAGAAGAGAGAAAUGGAAAAAAAAUUAAAAUGUGUAGGAAAAAUGGUAAGAAACAAAAAUCAGUUGCUACAUCAGUGAGGUACAAGGCCUGUACUGCUCUUCUAGGACACAGAAGGAGGCAGGUUAAGGUCUAGAAGCUUCAUGCAACUUGAAGUGUUCCACUAUUCACAUAAGAGGAGAAAACCCUCGUGAUAUUUAGUGCGCCAUUAAUGGCCAGUGUCGACAUUAUGUACAUGUUCUAUAUCAGCCAACCAGAAGGGCUUGUAGUAUUCAAAUUCAGGGCUUUUAUUCAGGGUAAGACUUGAAGAGGACCUAGUCCAACCUUUCAUUCACAGAUGAGGAAACUGAGGCUCUGAGAAGGUAGAUCCUCCGAUUCUAGACUGAUACUAGCCAACCUGGGAAGAGGCCGAGAGCAAAGGUGUCCCAGCCUGGAAGCAGGGAAGUCAGCUGAGACCCAGGGCUCUGGCUCCAGCAUGGCAGCCAGCCUCCUCGCAGGGCUCCACUUGCUACCUGGAGCCCCACAGCAACCCCAUGCCUCCCCUGCAGGAUACUAAAGCAAGGGACUCAGAGUGGGCUGUCCUGAGGCCCUGCUGGCAGUAAAAUCCUGUUGCCCAGCCUGCGUGGAGCAUGUUAAAACCUUCCUGGGACUUUAGCCCAAACUCAUAACCUCUUUUCAUUCCUCCCACACCUUCUGAGAGCUAGCUUUCCAAAACAGCCCCUGCCGCACCCCCGAACCCCCAGACAGGAGCCUCUCAAGAGCUCUUUCUUCACUUCAAAUCCAAAGGAGAAGACGGACCCAGAGGUUGGGGACAGUACCACUAAGGAGAUUUACUUCCCUUACAAAUCUUCCCAUCCAGGAACAUUUCACCUGGAAUGAAAGAGCACCAAUGCAGAGAGCCUUUAGAGACAUUCCAGUUCAAGUCACUCAUUUGUUGGAUGAAACUGGGACCCAGAGAAGGGGCAUGCUUUGCCUAAGGGCCCUCAAGGAGUCAGGUGGGCUAGGGCUGCAGGAAGGUCUCUGGUCUCUGGGCACCGCUCCUGCCAGGUGCAUCCAAUCGAGUGAGUGAGUGUGUGUGUGUGUGUGUGUGUGUGUGUGUGUACAGGCCUGUGUGAGCAUGCAGUUGGUGCCAGGAACCCGGGUUGCACUGAAAAGUUUUCUGGUACAUCGUGGACGGGUGGAGGAGAGAAGGGGUUUGCUUGCAGGUAGGGUAAAAACGACUUGCAUAUGGCAGAUGACAUUUUUAUCUUCAACUGAACCAGAAGUGAAGAGUCCAACUCACAAUUUUACCUACUACUAUUUUGAACAAUCAUUAACUGGAAAGUAAUAUAUGUUUAUUAUAGAAAAUUUGGAAGUUAGAAGAAAUGUGAAAGAAAUAAAACUACCCAUAAUUCCACCAUCUAGAAACCACCUUUGUCAAUGUUUUGGUUUACAUUCUUCAGCCUUUGAAAAAAAGUGCGAUUAACUGGCAUGUUCUGUUUGGUAAUCUAAUAUUUGCAUGUUCUAGUGAAACUUUGUUUUCAUAAUGCUAAAUACUCCUCCAUGGGAUGUUUUCAGUGGCUGCCUAGUUAUUCAUGCUGUUGGUUUAUCCAUUCAACCCAUUUCUUACUGACGGACACUUUGGUAACUCCUCUUUUCUCCCAUCAAAAAUAAUAGUGAGAUAAAUGUCUCUGGAUCUCUGGUUAUUCUUGGAUGAGAUUCUUAAGAUAGAAUUAGUGUAACGAAGAGAAUGACACUUCAAAAUUUUGACAUAUUUUGUUUCCAAGUCAUGCUUCAGA